AUGCCAUCAAAUGGCUGGAGGGCUUGUUCUGCACCUGUGGAAUGCGUGGGCAAUCCAAAUACUCGUCCUCCUCAGCUUCGCUCUGCAGGUUUCGCUCCUCUGCAGGUUUCACUCUUGGCUGGUAUCCGUCGGCGUCAUGCCUCCUCUGCGCUGAGGCUCCUCUUAUGGCUGCUCUACCUCGUGGCCGACUCCACGGCAAUAUACACUCUCGGCCACCUAUCCAUCACCAGCAGCCGCAACUCACAGCAGGCGCAGCACCAGCUGGCGGUGUUCUGGGCACCGUUCCUUCUGCUCCACCUCGGCGGCCAGGACAACAUCACCGCCUACGCACUCGAGGACAACCGGCUGUGGCUACGGCACCUGUUCACUCUUCUCGUGCAGGCACUGGCAGCUGCUUUCGUUAUCUACAAGUACGUGGCCGACGGCACUGCAGCAGGGGCUGGCAGGACGACGGCGAUGACCUUGCUGCUUGCGGACAUCUUGGUGUUCAUCGUUGGUGUCCUCAAGUACGGCGAGAGGACAUGGGCGCUCAAGUGUGGCAACAUGGCUGACAUCGAGAGCACGGUCUUGAGCUCGAGGCAUCAUACAUACAAAUCCUUCUUCUCCAAGGACCUGCGCUUCCCGUUCCCGAGAGGGACAAGAGUGGGGAAUAGUCUUGAGUGCCAGAGGCACGAUGAUGAUGACGAGGAAUUCCUGCUUGCAGCUCACUGCCUCCUCCACAUGUGCAAGAGCCUUUUUACCGGUGUUCUUGUUACCACGACUUCGUUUCAGCUGGCCACCAUAGCUCUUCACACGCAUAGCUUCAAGGCCGACCUGUUCAAGCUGGUAGAGCUAGAGCUGUCCCUGAUGUACGACAUCAUCUACACAAAGGCUUACGUGAUCCACACAUGGUAUGGCUAUUGCAUCCGGCUUGCCUCGCUUCUCGCAACCCUCUCUGCAUUCCUGCUGUUUCAGUUCAGCAGCACCCACGGUUACGGUGCAGCUGACGUCGCCAUCACUUAUAUCCUGUUGGUUGGGGCCUUGGUGGUGGAGAUCGUAUCUUUGUGCAAGGCUGCAGGGUCAACCUGGAUGUGUGCUUUGUUGUACUGCCUGGGCUGGGGGCAGCCUCUGAGUUUGCUGAAAUCUCUUCGCCGGCACGUCAGAGCAGCAAGAAAGAGGAGGUGGUCGGGCUCCAUUGGUCAGUUCAAUAUCUUCGACGUGUGCACCCGUGACACCUCCAAGAUAGCCAGCAGAGUGGCAUCGAAGAUUGUUAGAGAUAAUCACGAUUAG
rnacentral:rRNA from 1 species